rnacentral:rRNA from 1 species
GAUGAGUGCUGGCGGCGUGCCUAACACAUGCGAGUCGAGCGGCAGCGCGGUCUUCGGACCGGCGGCGAGCGGCGGACGGCUGAGUAACGCGUGGGAACAUACCCCAAAGUGAGGGAUAACCGCCCGAAAGGGUGGCUAAUACCGCAUAUGGUCUUCGGAUUAAAGGAUUUAUCCGCUUUGGGAAUGGCCUGCGUACGAUUAGAUAGUUGGUGGGGUAAAGGCCUACCAAGUCUACGAUCGUUAACUGGUCUGAGAGGAUGAUCAGUCAGACUGGAACUGAGACACGGUCCAGACUCCUACGGGAGGCAGCAGUGAGGAAUCUUCCACAAUGGGCGAAAGCCUGAUGGAGCAGCGCCGCGUGCAGGAUGAAGGCCUUCGGGUCGCAAACUGCUUUUAUGAGUGAAGAAUAUGACGGUAACUCAUGAAUAAGCACCGGCUAACUACGUGCCAGCAGCCGCGGUAA